rnacentral:rRNA from 1 species
CAGUCGCCACGGGAAUACGUAGGGGGCGAGCGUUGUCCGAAGUUACUGGGCGUAAAGAGCGCGUAGGCUGGUCUUUAAGUGAGUGGUGAAAGGUUCGGGCUCAACCCGGACACUGCCUUUCAUACUGGGGACCUUGAGUGUGGGAGAGGCGAGUGGAAUGGUCGGUGUAGCGGUGAAAUGCGUAGAGAUGUGGAGGGACACCAGUGGCGAAGGCGACUCUCUGGUCUGUAACUGGCGCUGAGGAGCGAAAGCGUGGGGAGCGAACAGGAUUAGAUACCCCAGUAGUCCCUGUCUCUUAUAC